rnacentral:misc_RNA from 1 species
GAUGAAGAACGUAGCGAAAUGCGAUAAGUAGUGUGAAUUGCAGAAUUCAGUGAAUCAUCGAAUCUUUGAACGCACAUUGCGCCCCUCGGUAUUCCGUGGGGCAUGCCUGUUCGAGCGUCAUUUAACCCCUCAAGCCUAGCUUGGUAUUGGGUGCUUGUCCCGCCUCUCGCGCGGCGACUCACCUCAAAGUCAUUGGCAGCCCGCAUCUCGCCGGCCGUGUGCGCAGCACAGACGCGCUCUUGGCAACGACGGAUCGGCUCUCCAAAAGCUUAUUUCAACCACUGACCUCGGAUCAGGUAGGGAUACCCGCUGAACUUAAGCAUAUCAAUAAGCGGAGGA